UAGCUUCACUUCCUAACCCCAGCUCUGCUUCCUCCCUCCAUCUCACAGAUCGUGAACCCUCAUCAGUGAAUCCUUUUCUGUUUCAUCACAUUCCCUUCACUCUUGUUGCUGUUAUUCUGUGCAUGAUAUAAUUGGGUACUACUCAACAUUUUAGGAAAAAGCAACACCUGUCAUCUGAUACCAAUGGCUUGUUUAGGAUGGACUAGAAAGCAGCGAGCACGAAUAUAGAGUUAGGAUACAGGAGAUGUACGUUGGCCAUUUCCUCUCUGACAACUGCGUGUCACUUUUGCAGCAGACUGUAGCUCCCUUAGCAUUAUCCAUAAGGACAGUCUUUUGAGGACAGUGACAUAGAGUGGGUGCUGCCAUCCCUGUGCUGAGGAGCUAGCGACGUAUUUCUCUCUCCUUUGGUGGCAGACACACACAGCCCACGGAGAGAACAAGGAAAUGUUGAGUCCACUAGGAUUCACCUACUAGCGGGGCAAAAAAACCCCACAAACAAAAGCAAGCGUCAGCCUUUCUCCAGUGCCAGCUUAAGGUGCUUUAGGAAAGUUUCUGUUUGCUGUGUCCGAUUGAUACGGCUGAACGAUCGAUCGGCUGACAUUUGUGAGGGACUAAUGUCAAUUUAAGACCAAAACUGCAAGCGCGGACCCCCCUCUCGCUGCCGCCCGCCCACCAAACGAGCCAACGGCUCGGUGCUGUGCCAGAGCCCCGUGCCUGGGCCCUGCGCUCCCCGCCCGCGGAGCCGCUCCAGCUUUUGUCUCCGUACGCUGCCUUCUUCCUUUCUCUCUUUCCAAACUUUUGAGCUCUCGCUCUGAGCUGUAUUUAUAGAGCUGGAGCCCACGGCUGUGUUUUUCCUUGUACCUCCUUUGGCUUGGGCUGAAGUCACUGGCAGGGAAAAUAAGAAGGAGGCAGGCGGGCGGGCAGACGAGCGGGAGGACAGAAGGGAAAAAGAGCCUGAGUCCCGCAGACGGGACCUGGAGGGAAGCUGGGGUAGGCGCGGAAUGUGCGGAACCCUUCUCCCGCGGACGAGCGAGAGUGAGGACGUUGAAGUCUCUAAAAUGGCACCAAAUCUCUCAGCAAAGCGGACUGUGUAGUUGCGUUGUUAAGCAUUUUCCUUGCCGACGUGCACCACAUUGACAUUAAUCUCAGCAAUGUAUGUCAAAGUAAUUCUGACAUCAUUAGAGAGCCCGUUCUGCAGGUAAGCAAAAAAAGUGAAACUGUGAAAGGCGUUUUUUUUUGGGGGGGGUGACAGAAAAUGAGGCGCUCAGGUUUGGCUUCUCGUGCAGAGCGGCGGGAGCCGCCGGAUUGCACUUCUCUGCACCGUUCAGUGUAUUAUGACUGUGUUCCAACUCAUUCCGAUGCGCCUUAAGGAAGGUAUAAAAUUUGAUUAAAGCUCCCAACAGCGCAUCAGGUCCCGCUCUGAGCCUCGGCUCCGCAUUCAGGCUUGUUCACGUCGCCGACGCUUCAGAACAAAACCCUGUUACCCUCAGCGUCUUCGGGCAGAUUUUUCUGUUUGAUUACAUCAAUAAUUUAAUUUCUAUUUCCUACCGGCCCUUCUAAGUAGGCAAAUCAACCCCCUUCCAACAUGGGUGGGGGCCGUUAUUUAUAGCUCGUUCUCUGGAACAAAAUGUACCAACACUCCCUCCUUUGAAUCUCAUUGCGGUUUCACUGCACUUUGAUAUUUAAGACCGUCGGUUUUCCUUGUCAAACUACCUGCUAUAGGAAAUUGCUCCCUUCGCUUGGCAAAUCACUCUUCACAAAGGUAGACAGGAACAUCUGCCUAAGGAAAGAAACGUUUCUAAAACGUUGCAGGGACAGAUCCAAAUUAAUAAGCUGGUAAAUCUUCUGCAAGAGCUGCCCUUACGGUAACUGUGUGCAGAGUUCUCCGUAGCUCUGUGCCCAGCUAUCAGAAUAAAUCAGAAUCGACUAAAACA
ensembl:lncRNA